rnacentral:rRNA from 1 species
UCCAGACUCCUACGGGAGGCAGCAGUGGGGAAUAUUGCACAAUGGGGGAAACCCUGAUGCAGCGACGCCGCGUGAGUGAAGAAGUAUUUCGGUAUGUAAAGCUCUAUCAGCAGGGAAGAAAAAAGACGGUACCUGACUAAGAAGCCCCGGCUAACUACGUGCCAGCAGCCGCGGUAAUACGUAGGGGGCAAGCGUUAUCCGGAAUUACUGGGUGUAAAGGGUGCGUAGGUGGCAUGGUAAGUCAGAAGUGAAAGCCCGGGGCUUAACCCCGGGACUGCUUUUGAAACUGUCAUGCUGGAGUGCAGGAGAGGUAAGCGGAAUUCCUAGUGUAGCGGUGAAAUGCGUAGAUAUUAGGAGGAACACCAGUGGCGAAGGCGGCUUACUGGACUGUCACUGACACUGAUGCACGAAAGCGUGGGGAGCAAACAGGAUUAGAUACCCUAGUACC